rnacentral:rRNA from 1 species
UUCGCUCGGCUGGCCAAGAAGUGGCAGAAGGUGGUUGCUAUGAGGAGGAAGAGGCUCACCGGGUUGUCAUCAACGUCUGCGGAAGAAACCAAAGGGUCUUUGGACGGCAAGGGCCACUGCAUCGUGUACACUGCUGACGGCGUGAGAUUUGAGGUGCCGCUUGCGUUCCUCGGUACGACAGUCUUCGGCGAGCUCUUUAGGAUGUCCCAAGAGGAGUUUGGCUUCACAGGCGUUGACAGUCGCAGAAUCACGCUGCCAUGUGACGCAUCGGUGAUGGAGUACGCCCUGUGCUUGCUCAGGAGAAGCGCCUCUGCAGAAAUGGAGGCCGCAUUCCUAUACUCCAUGGCGAUGCCAUGCCACUAUCAUGCUGCGGCACAUCUGGGAGUUAACCAGCAUUUUGGUGUCUGCAACUGCUGA